rnacentral:rRNA from 1 species
UGCAUGUCUAAGUACGAGCCGUGUUCGCACGGCGAGACCGCGUACGGCUCAUUAAAUCAGUCGUGGUCCAGAUGGGCCAGUGCUUAUCCUACUUGGAUAACUGUGGUAAUUCCAGAGCUAAUAUAUGCAACUCAUACCCCGAAGGCCGCGCUCUUGCAGUGUGCGCUGGACGGGUGCUUUUAUUAGACCAAACCGCUGAGGGCGCGUUAGCCUCCUCCUAGAGGCGCGCGCCUGACUCGCAUGAUGGUGACUCUGGAUAACCUUUGACAAGCGCACGUACCACUCGUAUGAGCGGACGGCGCUGCCACUAUCGAGUGUCUGCCUUAUCAGCUAUCAACCGUUCGUUACGUGCGACCGAUGGCUUUGACGGGUAACGGGGAAUCAGGGUUCGAUUCCGGAGAGGCAGCCUGAGAGACGGCUACCACGUCCAAGGACGGCAGCAGGCGCGCAAAUUACCCAAUCCCAGCUUCUGGGGGAGGUAGUGACGAAAUCUAACGAUGCGGGCGCCCUUUCUAGGGCCCCGCAAUCGGAAUGAGCACUUUCUAAACAACCUGUUGAGAACCUACUGAAGGGCAAGUCUGGUGCCAGCAGCCGCGGUAAUUCCAGCUUCAGCAGCAUCUAUUAAAGUUGCUGCGGUUAAAAGGCUCGCAGUUGAAUGUCAGUGCCGGGCGCAGGUCAGGUGGACGCUGGGGUGUGAGAACGAACACGGCACGGGCCUCGCCUUGUCAGCUUGCUGGCCUUCCUGGCGUGGCACCGACCGUGUCUCACAAACCCCCGUCCGUGACAAGCCUCCUCGCUUGCGCACAUAUCGGAAUUGGUUUCGGAGGCGUGCGAACGGCGGCUUCUCUCACGUGCGUAACUGGCCUUCGCGCCGGCCGUACGUGGGAGUUGUGUCAGCCCCGUGCGUUCUCUUUGUGGUUUUAUGGUCACCUUGAGUAAAUCAGAGUGCUCAAAGCAGUCGUAGGGGCCUUGCGCCCUGUGAAAAGUCUUGACGGACUGACUGGUUUUGCAUGGCAUGUCGGAAGACGACGUCGCGUGCUGGCUCAGAGCUUGAUCAGUGGUAUAAGCCAGCCGCGACGUACUGAUUAAAAGGGACGGUCGAGGGCAUUGGUAUUGCGAGGCGAGAGGUGAAAUUCUAUGACCCCCGCAAGACCUCCUGAAGCGAACGCGUCUGCCAAGGACGUUUUCAUUAAUCAUGAACGAAAGUUAGAGGAUCGAAGGCGAUCAGAUACCGCCCUAGUUCUAACCCUAAACGUUGCCAACCAUCAAUCCGCGCGUAGCACCCUUCUUAACGGGCUCGGCGGGCAGCUCCUUACCCACGGGAAACCAGAGUCUCUGGGUUCCGGGGGGAGUCUGGUUGCAAAGCUGAAACUUAAAGGAAUUGACGGAAAGGCACCACCAGGCGUGGAGCCUGCGGCUUAAUUUGACUCAACACGGGCCAUCUCACCAGGCCAGCACUCUUGUACGAUUGACAGAUUGAGAGCUCUUUCUCGAUUCAGUGGAUGGUGGUGCAUGGCCGUUCUUAGUUGGUGGAGUGAUCUGUCUGGUUAAUUCCGAUAACGAACGAGACUCUCCCCUACUAACUAGUCGGUUGGAUCUUGCUCUGAGAGUCGUGUACCUGGUGACCGGAGGGGUCGGUGUUUGGGGCGGAGGCGCCGCACCAAUGGGGUUUGGGUCUUGACCUCGGUCUUGCCCUCUCCUUCUGCGGUGUGCGAGCGCGUCGCUUACAGCCUCUCACUCACGGCCAGGACCACACACUCCAAGUCCACCGCUCAUGCUUAAAUUCUUCUUAGAGGGAUUCACGGUUCUGAAGCCGUACGAAACUGAGAGCAAUAACAGGUCUGUGAUGCCCUUAGAUGCUCUGGGCCGCACGCGCGCUACAAUGCCGGGCACAGCAGGUCUUUCCCCUACUCCGACAGGAGCGGGUAACCCUCUGAAAGCCCUCGAAUACUCUCGUGUCUGACACGAACGGCGUGCUUGGGCCUGGGGCUUGCAAUUCUUUCCCACAAACGAGGAAUGCCUAGUAGCGGCGGGUCACUGAGCUCGCUGUGACUCAGUCCCUGCCCUUUGUACACACCGCCCGUCGCUACUACCGAUUGGGUGUACCAGUGAGAGCCUUGGACUGGCGUCCGCUGCCUUCGGGUUAGCGGGUCCGACUGAAAGAGGUCCAAACUGGUGCACUUAGAGGAAGUAAAAGUCGUAACAAGGUUUCCGUA